ensembl:lncRNA
GACUGUUUAGAUAAUGACGUGUAAGAGAAUCACAGUGGAGAUCAACCCUGAAAAAAGCGUCCAAACUGAAGAAGAAUCUGACACAGCUGUCCCUGUUAGUGUUCCCAUAGCGGUAGUACUGCUUAUACUGGCUGUUAUCCUGCUUCUAAUCCUACUGAUCAGAAGACAACAUCGGACACGCACGGACACUGAUUUACCGGCUGAGAAACCUAUGCUACAGAAUGUGUGAAGUGCUCUUGCUUGACAGUUUAAUGGACUUACUUCUAUGUUGUAAUGCAAGGUCCUUCACAACAACAACAAUGGACAAUAAGAGGCCUUAGCCCUAAACAAAUGCGUUCGCAUGUGGGCAUUACACAAUGGUGCGUGCUGAUCCGUCUCACUUUGAGACAGAUUAAUGUUCAGUUUUCAGUUGUAACACUGUUACUUGUUUACCACUGAAUUGUGAAUACACUGCGGAUAUACAUUCAGUAGGCAUUACAGUUUUGUAAUUUGACAAGAUUCUCCUUGUAGGAACUGUCUUUAUUCAUUCUUUGAAGAACAGAUGUGAGGGGUAGGGGACAUGCAGUUUGUAUUUUGCCUUUUCCUCUCUCUUUGAGACAAACUGGUGGUCUCAAUCCUAAACAAGCUUUCCAAAUAAUUUUAUUUUAUUGUUCAUAUGUGUACAGCAAUCAUUUACUAAGCACUCAUCAUGCAAGCUUCUUUACAUUUACUCUUGAAUUGGUUGUUUUACUCAGCCUGUGCUGAUUUCAUUUAUGUGGAAGAAAUAAUAUGGCACUCCCUAUGGGAUAUAUUUGCUUUUUUUACUGUACUAAAUUUCAUUUACUUUUAAAUGAAUUCUGUAAAGUGCUUCAAACCUGUCAAGGCAAUAAACCUUUUACAUAUACAGUU